GCCGGAGUAGCUCAAUUGGUAGAGCAACUGACUUGUAAUCAGUAGGUUGAGGGUUCAAGUCCUUUCUCCGGCACCA
rnacentral:tRNA from 3 species